AGAGUUUGAUCCUGGCUCAGGACGAACGCUGGCGGCGUGCUUAACACAUGCAAGUCGAACGUGAUUUUUGUGGAAAUUCUUUCGGGAAUGGAAAUGAAAUGAAAGUGGCGAACGGGUGAGUAACACGUGAGCAACCUACCUUACACAGGGGGAUAGCCGUUGGAAACGACGAUUAAUACCGCAUGAGACCACAGAAUCGCAUGAUAUAGGGGUCAAAGAUUUAUCGGUGUAAGAAGGGCUCGCGUCUGAUUAGCUAGUUGGAAGGGUAAAGGCCUACCAAGGCGACGAUCAGUAGCCGGUCUGAGAGGAUGAACGGCCACAUUGGAACUGAGACACGGUCCAAACUCCUACGGGAGGCAGCAGUGGGGAAUAUUGCACAAUGGGGGGAACCCUGAUGCAGCGACGCCGCGUGAGCGAAGAAGGUUUUCGAAUCGUAAAGCUCUGUCCUAUGAGAAGAUAAUGACGGUAUCAUAGGAGGAAGCCCCGGCUAAAUACGUGCCAGCAGCCGCGGUAAUACGUAUGGGGCGAGCGUUGUCCGGAAUUAUUGGGCGUAAAGGGUACGUAGGCGGUUUUUUAAGUCAGGUGUGAAAGCGUGAGGCUUAACCUCAUUAAGCACUUGAAACUGGAAGACUUGAGUGAAGGAGAGGAAAGUGGAAUUCCUAGUGUAGCGGUGAAAUGCGUAGAUAUUAGGAGGAAUACCGGUGGCGAAGGCGACUUUCUGGACUUUUACUGACGCUCAGGUACGAAAGCGUGGGGAGCAAACAGGAUUAGAUACCCUGGUAGUCCACGCCGUAAAC
rnacentral:rRNA from 1 species